UUUCUCUGCCUAUUCUGAGGAAAGAAUAUUGAGAGUACAGGGCCAGCCAAUGCAGAUGUUAAUUGAACAAGCUUCUGCCGAUAACAUGGGACAAAUUUUGAAUCUUUCAAUCACAAAGAGAAAAGCCAUAUCUAGUACAAUCCUUGUGAAUAAAAGGAUGAUAAUUAGUAAGAAUCAAAAUCCAGGGCAGCAUGAAAUUUCGGAAGUUGUUAAACAGACUCCUAGGAAUCUAGAUUUGAGCCUUCCUGCCAAAGAGAAUGACGAGCAAG
rnacentral:misc_RNA from 1 species